rnacentral:rRNA from 1 species
ACGCUUUGUCUUUAAUUGAUCUGACGAGCUUGCUCUGAUUUGAUUUUAUCUGACAAAGAGUGGCGAACGGGUGAGUAACACGUGGGUAACCUACCUCUUAGCAGGGGAUAACAUUUGGAAACAAGUGCUAAUACCGUAUAAUACCAACAACCGCAUGGUUGUUGGUUGAAAGAUGGUUCUGCUAUCACUAAGAGAUGGACCCGCGGUGCAUUAGCUAGUUGGUAAGGUAACGGCUUACCAAGGCAAUGAUGCAUAGCCGAGUUGAGAGACUGAUCGGCCACAAUGGGACUGAGACACGGCCCAUACUCCUACGGGAGGCAGCAGUAGGGAAUCUUCCACAAUGGGCGCAAGCCUGAUGGAGCAACGCCGCGUGUGUGAUGAAGGGUUUCGGCUCGUAAAACACUGUUAUAAGAGAAGAACGGCACUGAGAGUAACUGUUCAGUGUGUGACGGUAUCUUACCAGAAAGGAACGGCUAAAUACGUGCCAGCAGCCGCGGUAAUACGUAUGUUCCAAGCGUUAUCCGGAUUUAUUGGGCGUAAAGCGAGCGCAGACGGUUAUUUAAGUCUGAAGUGAAAGCCCUCAGCUCAACUGAGGAAUGGCUUUGGAAACUGGAUGACUUGAGUGCAGUAGAGGAAAGUGGAACUCCAUGUGUAGCGGUGAAAUGCGUAGAUAUAUGGAAGAACACCAGUGGCGAAGGCGGCUUUCUGGACUGUAACU